rnacentral:rRNA from 1 species
GGAAUCCUGCAGAGAUGCGGGAGUGCUUCCUUCGGGGAGAACCUACACACAGGUGCUGCACGGCUGUCGUCAGCUCGUGUCGUGAGAUGUUGGGUUAAGUCCCGCAACGAGCGCAACCCUCGUCCCUAGUUGCUAACGGUUCGGCCGAGCACUCUAAGGAGACUGCCUUCGCAAGGAGGAGGAAGGUGAGGACGACGUCAAGUCAUCAUGGCCCUUACGGCCAGGGCUACACACGUGCUACAAUGGUUGGGACAAAAAGAUGCAAUACCGCGAGGUGGAGCUAAUCUCAAAACCCAAUCUCAGUUCGGAUUGGAGUCUGCAACUCGACUCCAUUAAGCUGGAAUCACUAGUAAUCGUAGAUCAGCAUUGCUACGGUGAAUACGUUCCCGGGUCUUGUACACACCG